ACCAGACCCAUCGAAAGCAGCACGAUGGUGACUCUGUCACAGCUUCUUGGCCUUCUCCUCCUCUGGGUUCCAGCCUCCCACGGUGAGAUCGUGCUGACCCAGUCUCCAGCCCUCCUGUCUAAGGCCCUAAUAGAAAAAGUCACCAUCACCUGCAGGGCCAGUCAGAGCAUCAGCACCAACUUACACUGGCACCAGCAGAAACCCAACCAGGCUCCAAAGCUCCUUGUAAAGUAUGCCUCCCAGACCAUCUCGGGGGUCCCGUCACAGUUCAGCGGCAGUGGGUCUGGGACAGAUUUCACCCUCACCAUCAGCAGCCUGGAGCCUGAAGAUGUUGCCACUUAUUACUGCCAGCAAAGUAACAGCAACCCGCCCACAGUGUUACAGGUCAGAACAUAA